GACGAAACGCGUGGCGGCGUGGAUUAGGCAUGCAAGUCGAACGGUAUCAUCCUUUCGGGGGUGAGAGAGUGGCGAACUGGUGAGUAACACGUAGGUUAUCUACCCUCAAGACGGGGACAACCCAGGGAAACUUGGGCUAAUACCGGAUGUGAGCAACUUUUAGUUGUUUGAAAGGUGGCGUAAGCUGUCGCUUGGGGAUGAGCCUGCGUCCUAUUAGUUAGUUGGUGAGGUAACGGCUCACCUAGGCAAUGAUAGGUAGGCGGCCUUAACGGGUGGUCGCCCACACUGGGAUUGAGAUACGGCCCAGACUCCUACGGGAGGCAGCAGUCGAGAAUAGUCUACAAUGGUCGGAAGACUGAUAGUGCGACGCCGCGUGAACGAUGAAUCCCUUCGGGGUGUAAAGUUCUUUUAUAUGUGAGCAGUGCUUCUUAUAUUAACAGUAUGGGGAGAGAGAUAUUAGCAUAUGAAUAAGCAACGGCUAACUCCGUG
rnacentral:rRNA from 1 species